UGGCCAGGUAAUUAUCACUCAUGAUUGAAAAAUAUUCCCUAAUUUAAUUCCAGAAACUUCCAUUCAUUAGAUGAUAAAACUUAAGUUUCCUUUUUCUGGUUUAGAGGGCUGUUGUGAAAUUGUAUUACACCUUAAUAUUUUCAAUUACACUUCGAAUUUGUUCUCAGAAGGUCUGUUUUAAUUCUCAUCUUCUAGGACUGGAGAGAAGAAUUUAUACCUUCUUUCGACCUUGAUGCUUCCAUUCAGCCAGGGAUAAUCUGCAAAGAGCUAAAUGAUAUCCCUGGUGCAUUGCUAAAGCCAUUUUUCAUACCCUUCCCUUUUCCUCCGCAGAACAAUGUUAAAGGAAGCAGAGAGAGAGAGAGAGAGAGAGUCAAAAGCCUCUUAUACCUGUAGCUUCACAUGUCAGACUUUGGGACCUUCUUAGGGCCAAGUUGGGACACAGACAAUUAAUGGAGAAUUUUAUUGUAAUUUAGUCUCUGCAUUUCAUCAGAAAUGAGAUAUUGUUCUCGAUGUUGGGGUGCCACGAUAAUGUGGCAGUUAGAGUGACCCUGUUAAAGAUUGGGGUGUUGGAGUUCAAUUCGGCACCGUCUAAUAGGAGCUCGCAUGUGUGCCCUGUAAACGUGCGAGCUUCCUCCAGGUGUUCCAAAGGCAUACCAGUUAAUAGGUUAGCGUAAAUUGUCCUGUGAUUAGGUCGGGUUAAAUGGGUGGCUUGUUGGGCCGGAAGGGCCUGUUUCAUGAUGUAUCUAAAUAAAAUAAAUAAAGUGGUCCAGAAACUGAGUAGAAACCAGAACUCUCAACUCUAACCGAGGCAUCACAUCUAUAUUGGAAAUCCCCUCCCUAAGCCCACGCACUCAUACCUAUUAUCAAUGUAAGCCCAACUUCAGAGUCUCUGAGGUAAUCCUGGAAGACCCUUCCCUUUACUCCUGGACCUUUGGUGUACAGUGUAUACAUUUGGGCAAGAAUCAGCAGCAUGUUUUCAAAUCUUUCUUUGUAACACGGUCAUCCAAAAUUGGGAGAGAGCCUCAAGCUCACUUUCUUUAUCAUCACAAGGGCGUGGACACUUACCCAAAGCCUGUUGAAUGGAGGAAAAGGCAUUGGAAUGCAUGCAUACAAUACUGUUCCUCCAGGUCUUUUGCAUACUUUUGCUGAGCAAACUUCAUUCAGGUAUUCAGUGCCCUUGCUGCCCUGUGAUUUCCAUCUUCAGGUCCCUUCAAAAGUUAGAGCUGGAGAGCUUAAGAUUGUUUAAUGUCAUUUCCAGUACACGAGUGUAAAGAAGAACAAAAUACUUGUACACCAGAUCCUAUGCAGCAAAAAAAUAUAAAGAAAACAAUAAAAAAACACAAUAGAUAUACAAACAUAUGAUAGUUUAUAUACAUAGAUUGAUUGUACGUCCAUAAAGUGACGCUAGGCACAGGAGUGUCUGUACAUAAGGUGACUGUCAGGAAGUGAUAAAUUAGUGGUGGUGAGGGCUGUGGAGGGGUGUGUUAGUGGGUGGAGGUGUUGUUCAGCCUCAAUACUUGGGGAAAGUGCUUGUGUUUGAGUCUGGUGGGCCUGGCGUGGAUGCUACGCAGCCUCCUCCCUGCUGGGAGUGGGACGAUCAGUCCAUCAGCAUAGUGGGUGGGAUACUUCAUGAGGUUACUGAACCUUUCCUGGCGCCUUUCUUUAUAUCUGUCCUUGAUAGCUGGCAGACUGGUGCCAGCGAUGCAUUGGGCAGUCUGGUAUAGUGCAGUUUCAGAACCAAGCAAUGAUCCAGCUUGUUAGGAUGCGCUCUACUGCACAUCCGUAGGCUGACGUGAGUAUGAAUGUGCAUUGUCCAGCUUUCUUCAGUCUCCUCUGAAAGUAAAGGCACCGCUGAGCUUUCCUGUCUAUGUGAACUGUGUUCUGAGACCAUAAGCGAUUGUGGAAGACGUGCACUCCCAGGAGUUUGAAACCGCUGGCCGACAUAAAGAGGGAUGUGACUGGUACGAGUUCCGGAAGUCAAUAACCAUCUCUUUCGUCUUGCUGACAUUGAGGAAGAGGUUACUUGCCUGGCAGCAGGCCUCGAGCUCCUCCACCUCCCCUCUCAUCGUUGCUGGUGAUAAGCCCCACCAGUGUCGGUUUAUUGGCGAAGUGAUUAGGCAGGUGCUUGGCCGUGCAGCCAUGUGCAAGCAGAGUGUGCUGCCUGCAGCCCUGGCGGGCAUUUGUAUCAAGGAUGAUGAGGAGGAAGAAGCCAUUGUACAUUCUAACUAAAUCCUGCCCUCUGCAAACAUAAACAAGAAAUUCACAGCAAACCUUGCAUAUUAUUUGGUUCGCUCUGCAUUUUCUGGUGAUUUCUAUUUUUCCCUCUCACUGAGCUCCUUGCCUGAUGACAUCCUUCCUUCGGCUGCCCAGCUCAAAGCAUGUCUGUUCCUUCUGCUGACUCCCGAACAAAGCAGAACAUGUUUGUUUUUGCUAUUUGCCAGCAGCAACAUGUGCAGGUGCCGCUUUAAAGAUAUUUCUGUUGCUGGCCAGGAAAUCCUACUCCAGCAUGUGGCCCAUCGUGUACUGAGGAGUGCACCAGCUGGGCUUCAGGUGAAGAGCCAGUGGAAAACCCAGGGGACGUCCCCGUGCAUGUGGAGAGUUUAGAUUUGUAGGGGUUACUGAUAGCAGAAUUUCAGUUCCUUGGUGACCAAGAACCAGUGACAGAUGCAGUAGCAUAUGGUUAGUCAUAUGAUGAGCGAAACUGUCCUUAAGUGAGGAGACGCUUGACUAUCUUCUUGCCUGCACAGAAUUCAAAUAAUGUAUUUUCUGCUGCAGAUAACCACCAGAAGCUCAGUACGUAGCUGAAACUUUUUGCAGAAACUAAUUGAAUGCAGUUUGUAGAGAACAUACGAUCAAACUUAUGAGGAGUGGAAGCUGCUGACAGAAAGUGAAACUAAAACAAACAAAACGAAUGUAAAUUAGAUGUUCCCUCAUACCCACAAAGUUGUAAACUGAUCAUCAAAAUUAAAAUUAACCCUUUGAUUUCCAGAUUUGUUUGCUGUCUUAUUGUAUUGUAAACUAAUUCAGAUUUAUGUUUUCUCUACAGAUACCUCUGCAAUGUUAGCCUGCGCGGAGCUUCAGAUUCUCAUGGAAUCAGAGGUUUACUGUUGGAAGGAAGAAGGAUGUCGCUCUAAAAGAUAGUGACUUAAUGAUCAUUUAAAGCCGAAUUCAGAAUUUUGAGCCAUUAAGAUUGAUAGAGCAAUGGGAUUCCAAACCCAAAAUGUUGUGUGUCUAGAAGAUGACUGUUCAGGUGAUGCUGUUCCCUUUCACCUGCUGGCUUUGUCUACCUAGCGAGCAGAUGGGCAGUGCACGCUGUAGUCAUGUUUCACCCAUGCUGGAAUCUGUGAAUGCUUAGCAUACAUCAGUUUUCAUGGCAGUUCUCCAAAGCAGCAUGUAUAUUAACAUUCUUUACUUUGUAAUUUUUUUAUUUAGAUAUACAGCACAGUAACAGGCACGUACCACCGAAAUACUGUACACCCAUGUGACCAAUUAACAUAAUAACAACAUAAGACUAUAAGACAUAGAAGCAGGAUUAGGCCAUUUGGCCCAUCGAGUCUGCUCCACCAUUUCAUCAUGGCUGAUCCAUUUUUCCUCUCAGCCCCAAUUUUCUGCCUUCCCCUCCCCAUAUUACUUCGUGCCAUGGCCAAUCAAAAAUCUAUCAACCUCUACCUUAAAUAUAUUUAAAGACUUGGCCUCCACAGCUGCCUGUGGCAACAGAUUCCACAGAUCCACCACUCUAAGGCUAAAGAAAUUCCUCCUCUUCUGCAUUCAGCUAUAUGAAGAUAGGUGGAGGGGUAGGUAGUGCUGAGGAAGCAAUGCGAUUGCAGCAGGACCUAGACAAAUUGCAAGUAUGGGCAAAAAAAUACAGAUGGAAUAGAGUGUUGGGAAAUGUAUGAUAACACAUUUUAGUAAAAGGAACAAUAGUGCAGACUGUUAUCUAAUUGGGGAGAAAAUUCAAACAUCAGAGGUUCAGAGGGACUUGGGAAUCUCAUGCAAGGUUCCCAGAAGGUUAGUUCACAGGUUCAGUCUGUGGUAAAAAGGCAAAUUCAAUGUUGGCAUUUAUUUCAAGGGGAACAGAAUAUAAAAGCAAGGAGAUAAUGCUGAGCCUUUAUAAGACACUAGUCAGGCUGCACUUGGAGUAUUGUCAACAGUUUUAGGCCCCUUAGCGCAGAAAGGGUGUAUUGUCAUUGGAGAGAGUCCAGAGUAGAUUCAAGAGGAUGACUCUGGGCAGGAAGGGGUUAGCAUAUGAGGAGGUCUGGCAGCUUUGGGUCUGUACUCACUGGAAUUUAGAAGAAUUUGUGAGGAUCUCAUUGAAACCUACCAAAUGUUGAAAGGACUAGAUAAGGUGGAUAUGGAGAGGAUGUCUCCUCUGGUGGGGGUAUCCAGAACUAGAGGACACAGCCUUAAGACUGAGGGACUAACUUUUAGAUCAGAAGUAAGGAGAGAUUUUUUUAGCCAAAGAGAUGUGAAUCUGUCGAAUGCUCUGCACAGACUGUGGUGGAGGCCAAAGUCCGUGGGUAUGUUCAAAGUGGAAGUUGAUAGAUUCCUCAUAGGCCAAGGCAUCAAGGAAUAUAGUGAGAGGGCAGGUAUAUGGGGUUGAAUGGAAUCUGGGAUUGGCCAUGACAAAAUAGUGGAGCAUACUCGAUGGGCCGAAUAGCCUAAUUCUGCUCCAACUUUUUAUGGUCUUAUGGUUCUAAAAGGACUCCCCUCUGUUCUAAGGCUGUGUCCUCUGGUCUCAGACUCCCCCACCAUAGAAAACAACUUCUCCAUAUCCACUCUAUCAAGGCCUUUCAACAUUCGACAGGUUUCAAUGAGAUCACCCCUCAUUCUUCUGAAUUCUAGUGAAUACAGGCCCAGGACCAUCAAACACUCUUCAUAUGACAAGCUGUUCAAUCCUGCGAUCAUUCUCGUCAACCUCCUUUGAAACCUCUGCAGUUUCAGCACACCCUUUCUAAGAUAAAUUACCCAAACCUGCUCACAGUACUCCAAAUAAGGCCUCAGCAGUGCUUUAUAAAAUCUCAACAUUAUAUCUUUGCUUUUAUAAUCUAGUCUUCUUGAAAUAAAUGCUAACAUGUCUUCCUCACCACAGACUCAACCUGCAAAUUCAACUUCAGAGAAUCCUGUACAAGGAUUCCCAAGUCGCCUUGCACCACAGUUUUUUGUAUAUUUUUCCAUUUGGAAAAUAGUCUACCUUUUCAUUUUUUCUACUAAAGUGCAUGACCAUACACUUCCCGACACUGCAUUCCAUCUGCCACUUCUUUGCCCAUUCUCCUAAUCUGUCUAAGUUCUAUAGCUUCUUUACUUUGUCAAAACUACCUGCCCCCCACCUAUCUUCAUAUCGUCUGCAAACUUUGCAAUAAAGCCAUCAAUUCUGACUUCCAAAUCAUUGACAUAUAACGUAAAAUUAAUCAGACCCAACACAAACCCCUGUGGAACACCACUAGCCAUUGGCAACCAACCAGAAAAGGCUCCCCAUUAUUCCCACUCUUUGCCUCCUGCUAAUCAGCCACUGCUUUAUCCAUGCUAGAAUCUUUCCUGUAUUACCAUGGGCUCAUAGCUUGUGAAGCAGCCUCAUGUGUGGCACCUUGUCAAAUGCCUUCUGAAAAUCCAAGUAUGUAACAUCAACUGAUUCUCCUUUGUCUAUCCUGCUUAUUAUUGGUUCAAAGAAUUCCAACAUAUUAGUCAGGCAAGAUUUUCCCUUAACACAUUCAUCUUUGGAAUGUGGGAGGAAACCAGGACACCUGGAAGAAACCCAUGUGGCCACGGGGAGAACGUACAAACUCCUUGCAGUGCCAGAAAUUGAAUCCAGGUCGCUGGCACUGUAAUGGCAUUAUACUAGCUGCUACUUUACCUCUUUGUCAUCUGAUUAUGCUCCAGUGAUAUUUUAGGACAUUUCUUCCAUUCGAAGCAAGUCUUUAAGUGCAUGUUGAAUAGUUCCCAGUCCUCCCUGCCCUCCCUUAAUUGCACACUGAUCUACCAAGCUCUUUCAAAUGGCAUGUUCAUUCCUGACAGAAACCAUCGGUUACUAAUCAAAAAAUAAUUUUUGAAUGUGUGGCCAUUCCUUCAUGCUCAUUCUUUGCAGUUGGUCCAGAUUUUGCUGGAGGAAUAGAUUUGAAAACUACUGGACUUUUCUUCAGAUAUCACAAUGGAGAUUUCAGACUUUGGAACAGGAGGUAAAUCAGCUCAAACUCAGUAUGAGUAAUGUAGGAGGGUGGGGGGGGGGGAGAAGUGGAAGGUUGUAGAACAGCAAUGUAUGGGAACAUUGACACAUAGGAAGCAAUGAAAAGAAACAACAUCAGGGAGGUGGAAGUAUCAAGGGUAACAUCCACGCUCAAAAACAAAAGCCACAGGGCUGGGGUAGGGUUUCAUAGGGAGAUUUGUGGAAGCAUCCAGUAGUGAAGAUUGAGAAAUCCAGAAAUUCAAAGUAAAUUUAUUAUCACUAUAUAUUACCAUGAGAUUAAUUUUCUUGCAGUCAUUUACAGGAAAAUAAAGAAGAAUAUAGAAUUUAUGAAAAUCUAUAAAUAACAAAGACUGACAAACAACUAGGGUAAGUAGUGGAAAUAAUAAAAAAAAUGAAUUGUUGAAACUCUGAAAUUGAGUCUAAACCUGGAAUUAACAACAUGCUGUAUAUAGUAAAUGUAAGUGGUUAGAAUGCUAAAUAAGUAUGUAAAACAUGCACAAACUGGGAAAAAUGACACAUAAAGAAUUUUGUAAAUAGUCUUACUGGGAAGUAUUACAGAAAAAAAAGUGCCACUUUCAUUAUCUGUAAGUAUCUGUAAGAGCUUGCUCACACUUGGCAUGAUACAUCAUUAGUCAGAGGAUGUGCUCUUUCUUCCAUUCACACUUCCUCAGGUCUCAGAGAGUGAGCUGCUACUUUCCCAUGGCCCCUUUUCUCUUGUGAGCUCUUUGAUUCUCUCCAGACAAUCCUGUUCUGUCUCUUACUUACUUUUUCAAGCCCAUUCUCUACCUACUCCAUACGUUCCAUCUCUCCUCCACCUGCUUCUCUCUCUUCCUCUCCUCUGCCAGAUCUUCACCCCUCUUCCCAUCCUAUGCUGCUGGUCAGUUGGUCAGGAAAGUUCUCCUUCCAGGGAAAAAAAGACAAAGAUCAGGCCACCACUGAGAUUAAAAAGAUACUAGUUCUUAAAUUAUAGAGACUUCUAUUUAAGUAGCAUAAGCAUUCCAAACAUAUUGUUCUACUGUUGUCAGUUUUGUGGUGUAACCCACACCAAGGUAACUGAGAAAUAAAUAUAAUGAAAAUUCCCCAUUUAAGUUUCUGUAGUAAAAAUACAAUAACUGUUAAUUUGAUAAGGUUAUUAAAAGUAUCUGUAACUGUCUCACAGACAUGUUUCAUUGAGAUGUUUGUGUUAUGUUUUUGUCAUAAAUUCAUGAUUAUUUUAUCAUCUUAAAAUAUUUUAUGUAAGAUUUUAAUUUAAUGUAGAGUGUAAUGGGUCACAUGACCAGAGUUUAAUAAAAGCAUGACUGUGGUAUUAUGGGUCAGAACCAGCAUGGAAGCACAGAAAGACAUAUGGUCCUCAAAUAACCUUAUUCUGCAUGUGGUCCAAGUGGCGCACACGGUAAUUGUUUUAUUUGUUUUAUAUUGUGUAUAAUAUUGUUGAUGUGCCUUUAUAUGGAUGCUGCGAUACUUUUUUAGAGAUUUAUUUGAUAUCAGCCCACUUCUGUUGUGCUAACGUGGUUGGGCCUGUUUAUCGGCGGACACUAGCUUGAGAGACUUCAAAAGACUGAGAGAUGUAUGUUUCAAACCUUUUAUGACCUUUAUUUUCUUGUAGUUUUCACGGUGCCUACUGAAGAAAGAGAGAGAGAAAUAAAAUAAAUCUUCAAGGACAUCUGUAUGUUGCCUGGCCACUUUCUCAUUGGACUGGUGCAGUUACAGUAUCUUACAUUCAAAUAGCAGAAUAACUUGAAUCAGCUUGUCAAAACCAAAAGUUCAAGCUUACAUUCAAGUACAUCACCUGAUCACCAUUGUGACGUUUAGCCAAAAUGAAGACUGGUACUCGAUGCAAAGCUCAACGUGUGAAGCAGGAGGAAAGGCCAGUCAUAGCUUGUCCGGGUUACUGUUGAAGAUAAGAGACGUGGAGAAAUGUCUGCCAUCCAAUUAGGAUGGUCGAAUUGAGAGGAGGUUUCUCUGGUGAGGGACACCCAGGUUAGGCUUGGCGCUUUUGUUCGGAGGAAAUGAAGAGGGAAGGUGCAGAAGAAAAGAGAUCUAGGAUUCGACCUGGAGCAGAGCCGUGAUUCACUGAAGCCAGGGGCGAGAUCGAUUGAGGAUCGCCGACUAUGGAGGAACUUCGAGCUCCAAGUUAUGCACAUUUUGACUGUUUCAUUAAAAUGGGCCUUUUUCUUU